rnacentral:sRNA from 1 species
UAAUGGCUCAUGAGCGUACAUCAUUGAUC